rnacentral:misc_RNA from 1 species
UAUGAAGUAGACGUUACAUCAAUAAAGUUUUCUACAUUUACAGAAAUCAACACCCAUAACACACAUUAAACAUUAGCAUCAAUAUUUCACAACCAACGAUUCAGCAUAUCCCACAACGAAUCAUCAGCAAUAACAAGCAGCGCAGUAGCAGAAAAGCUUCUUUCACCAACCCUCCACACCUCUCUUGUGCCACUCAGUCAGUUAUGUGACUGAUCCUGCUCAAUAAAAUCUAAGGCUCCUUCCCUGGAUACAACAGUGACCUUGCUAACUCUAUUUUUGUGGCUCACACUAUAUAUCUUAUCAGCCACCUUCACGAGCUCCGGGCGAAAUGUCGUCGUGAUAAAUUGCGUGCUACCCCUGUCUGCCAAAUCACGAACCAUAUUCCCCACGGCUGUUCUGUACUGAGGAUCUAGUGCUGCAUCUAUCUCAUCAAAAAGAUAAAAUGGGGCAGGAUCACAUCUUUGUAUGGCAAAUAUAAGUGCCAGUGCUACCACAGUUUUCUGGCCCCCUGAUAACUGUUUCAUUGACUGUGUUUCUCCUUGUCCAGUGAACGACACCUUCACUUUCACACCAAUAUAUUUCUCAACUCUUCCCUCUGCAUCAGCACGCGGCUCAUCAUCAUCAGGAUCAUUGUCAUCUUCCUCACCAUCCUUUUUCUUCAUCAUA